rnacentral:tRNA from 1 species
GGGUAGAUGGCUCAGUGGUUAAGAGCACUGGCUGCUCUUCCAGAGGACCUGGGUUCAAUUCCCAGCACCCA